AGUUUGAUUAUGGCUCAGAUUGGACGCUGGCGGGAUCUUUACACAUGCAAGUCGAACAGCGGCACGGACUUCGGUCUGGUGGCGAGUGGCGAACAGGUGAGUAAUGUAUCGGAACGUGCCUAGUAGCGGGGGAUAACUACUGCGAAAGCGUAGCUAAUACCGCAUACGCCCUUCGGGGAAAGCGGGGGACCUUCGGGCCUCGCACUAUUAGAGCGGCCGAUAUCGGAUUAGCUAGUUGGUGGGGUAACGGCUCACCAAGGCGACGAUCCGUAGCGCUGGUUGAGAGGACGACCAGCCACACUGGGACUGAGACACGGCCCAGACUCUACGGGAGGCAGCAGUGGGGGAAUUUUGGACAAUGGGGAAACCCUGAUCCAGCCAUCCCGCGUGUGCGAUCAUGAAGGCCUUCGGGUUGUAAAGCACUUUUGGCAGGAAAGAAACGGCACGGGAUAAUACCCCGUGCAACUGACGAAACACCUGCAGAAUAAGCACCGGCUAACUACGUGCCAGCAGCCGCGGUAAUACGUAGGGUGCAAGCGUUAAUCAGAAUUACUGGGCGUAAAGCGUGCGCAGGCGGUUCGGAAAGAAAGAUGUGAAAUCCCAGAGCUUGGCGGAACUGCAUUUUUAACUACCGAGCUAGAGUGUGUCCAGAGGGAGGUGGAAUUUAAAAGCGUGUAGCAGUGAAAUGCGUAGAUAUGCGGAGGAACACCGAUGGCGAAGGCAGCCUCCUGGGAUAACACUGACGCUCAUGCACGAAAGCGUGGGGAGCAAACGGGAUUAGAUACCCUGGUAGUCCACGCCUAAACGAUGUCAACUAGCUGUUGGGGCCUUCGGGCCUUGGUAGCGCAGCUAACGCGUGAAGUUGACCGCCUGGGAGUACGGUCGCAAGAUUAAAACUCAAGGGAAUUGACGGGGACCCGCACAAGCGGUGGAUGAUGUGGAUUAAUUCGAUGCAACGCGAAAAACCUUACCUACCCUUGACAUGUCUGGAAUCCCGAAGAGAUUUGGGAGUGCUCGCAAGAGAACCGGAACACAGGUGCUGCAUGGCUGUCGUCAGCUCGUGUCGUGAGAUGUUGGGUUAAGUCCCGCAACGAGCGCAACCCUUGUCAUUAGUUGCUACGAAGAAGAUACUCUAGUAGGACUGCGGUGACAAACCGGAGGAAGGUGGGGAUGACGUCAAGUCCUCAUGGCCCUUAUGGGUAGGGCUUCACACGUCAUACAAUGGUCGGGACAGAGGGUCGCCAACCCGCGAGGGAGCCAAUCCCAGGAAACCCGAUCGUAGUCCGGAUCGCAGUCUGCAACUCGACUGCGUGAAGUCGGAAUCGCUGGUAAUCGCGGAUCAGCAUGUCGCGGUGAAUACGUUCCCGGGUCUUGUACACACCGCCCGUCACACCAUGGGAGUGGGUUUUACCAGAAGUAGUUAGCCUAACCGUAAGGAGGGCGAUUACCACGGUAGGAUUCAUGACUGGGGUGAAGUCGUAUAAGGUAA
rnacentral:rRNA from 1 species